rnacentral:lncRNA from 1 species
UUAGGAGAGUCUUCUGUUCUCAGAAUCUAGCCCGACUUUCACUUGCCCACUGCAGUUUAACUUAGACAACUCUUUGCGUAGGACACUCGCGUGGCUGACCAUAAUCUGAUGGCCAGAUCGGUGAGGGUGGGGGAGUGCUUGCCCCAUUCCCAGAAUUCAUCACUACCUUGCGUGAUGGGAAGGAAAAGUCACUGUGGACCUACAGUCUUUGGAGAAGGUGAGUCAGAUUGCACUUGGCAGCUGCAGGGCCACAGACUCCUGCUAUCUCAACGAUGGUCUACAGCCCAGAACAGUAGCAUUUCUGGUACACCCUGGAGCCACCCUGUCCUUGGAAUCCUUAAUAAGCAUGUGGUGAUCAGUUCUGUCUUCAUUUCAGAGUUGCCGAUGGUUGGGAGAUUUAAGAUACCCAACACCCUGAGACAUGCCCUGGACCGACUAUAAACCAGAAUCCCUAACCAAACAGACGCACAGUUGUGCACAAUUACUGGGUGCAGUAUGAUAUCUUGGGACACAUACGCAGCAUGUGUUGGUGUUCUGGGUUGACUUUGAGCACCCUCAUUGAUCCCUAGUUGAUAGUGUGGACUUAGGAGGUGUGGUCAAGCUAAAGGAAGUAGGCCCCAAAGAGACGAGCUUUUAAAGUUAUACCUGGUCUCCAGCCCCUUCCCCACUCCUGAUCUUGUCUGCCUGAGGCAAGACGUGGCCUC